UCUCAGAUGGUCCAGUGGUCAAGAUUUCCGCCUGUCAUCACGUGAUGUGCUCGCGGACGACCGGGGUUCGAUUCCCCGUCUGAGAG